CAAUCCGCUGACCUCAAAGACGAGAGUGAGGCUCAUGGAGACGAGAGUGAGGCUCAUGGCCGACUAGGCUGGGCAGCAUAGGCUAGUCCCGCUUGGUUAUUGUCCACUGAAGCUGCCUCUCGUGGUCGUUCAUCACCCCCAUCGUGUCAUCUAAUUUAAAAUCUCCCACUCCUCGUUCAAUUGGGAAGAUUAGGCCAUUAGGGAAAACUUUUGAAGAUCUAAAUUAGCUACAAUUUCCAAUUUGUUUCAAUGAGGGGAAAACUGUUCGCAGUUGGUUUAGAUGGAAGGAAAAUGUUUAAAGAUUGAAAUUAGAGAUGCAAUUUCUAAAGUUUGCUUUGCUUUUAAUUCAACAAUCUACUUAUCUCCUCUUGGGAUAGACUGCGAGUAAUCUUGGAAACUGGACAGUAUCUGGGUUUCAAUUUUGUAUCCCCAACUGACCUUUUCUGGUAGAUUCAAUCUUCAGAAUCUUCGAUCAUAUGAUGUGGAGUGGGUACCUCUAAACUUAGGUCAGAAAUGCCAUUAGAAGUGGGACUUCUUUGAUGCUGUUUCCAGGAUAAAUCUAUUGCGUUCAGCGUUGGUUCUGAUUGUUUGCUUGGAGGAUCAAGCGAUUACUGGAGGUUUGAACAAAAGAAUAAAUCAUGGGAUAUGUGCACGGAAAAAUCUAUGGUAUACUCAGGCCUUGUUGGUGCAGAGGUAGAGUCCAUAUCUUUAUGUGGAUAUCAUUUGGCCGUUGGAAUAGGAACAUCAAACAAUAUAUGACCACUAGAAAUAUAAUAUUCCAUGGAGUAUCCAGUCAGUUGUGUGGGUUAGUUUCCUAAUUCUAAAGGAUAUGCAGUUGGAUCAGUGGGUGAACAUGUUGCUGUGAUGUGUCUUGAUUCCAAUGCAAAUGAAAUGAGGUUCAUAUGUUUGCUCUAGAUGUUUAUGGACCAACGAUACUUUAAUUUAAUAUGAAUGCUUAUUACAGCUGUAUGUUUCAAUGUCGACCAAAAACAAGGGAUGGGAAACACCAUCUUGUUGCUGCGAACGAUAUCCUGUUUGAUCCAAGGUACUUUUUUUUUUAAUCUUAUUUAUAUAUGGUUUUAGAUUGGUGUUGUAGGGUUGACAAUCUCUCAAUUGAUAUUUGAAUUAUGCUGGUUUAGCCAUUAUGACACCUCUGUCACCGGUGAUAAUGAGGGGUAUGCUAUUAUUUAGGCGCUCGGAGUAGGAAGAGACUGUUAUAGGUAACUAGUGUUCAUAGCAUUUCCAGGUUUCUAAAAUUCUUGUUUCAUCUUUCUGGUCAUUCAAAAGAAAAGUUCAGUUAGUAAUGGACAGAUAUAAAUGAAAGCAAAUUUUGUCUCUUAUGCCAUGUAGUGUUCUAACUUCUAAACCCUAGUUUUCUCGCUAGUUCAUAAAGUACCCCCACAUUGUGGCAUCUUUAUCAUAUAACAAUAGCUAUGCUAUUGUGGCAUCUUUAUCAUAUAACAAUAACAUUGUGGCAUCUUUAUCAUAUAACUUCUAAACCCUAUUUUUGUUAGCUGUUGCAUCAAGCUAUGCUCAUCAAGAAGCUAACAAGAAGUUGGUUCUUUUCUUGAUAUUUCCGGGGUUUUAUACUUUGUACUCCGGUAAUAUUAUGCUACAUUAGUAACUACAUGUCUUUCUUUCUUUCCUGUAAAUAGAGAAGAGUCUCCACAAACACUUAUACAUGAAAUGAACAAGAAAGUCAUGGCCCCAUAUGGGUUGAAUGGCUGGUGGAACUUCAAGGUCGAAGUAAACAACGUGUAGGUGUCACACAAAGCUUACUGCCCAGGUUAAUUUCUGCAUUUUUAUAACUGGGAGUAGUAUUUAGUGUCUGAUUGCAGAUAUGAUUUCUUUUUUAGGAUAAUAUUGUAUCUCAGUAGCUUUUAAGUUUGAUAGAACUUGUAUAUGCCAACAUUACAUCGCUCCUAAUCUGGGCCUGGAAGUAGUGUAAU